UUAAAAAUAAGGGGGACUCAGAGAGACAGAGACGGUAGGAAGAGUCAAAAACAGUAACCCUAAAUCACUCCAACUUAAAUCGAUCCUCAAUUCCCCUCCAAUCUCUUCCAUUGCAAUCCAAACCCUGCCUCAUAAAUUACUUCCAAGUUCCAUCUCUCAGUCUCAACGCUACAAUUUACAGCCUCUAUGCCUGAAAUCGCCGCCGCCUCUAUGAGUCUACGAAUAGCCAGUUUCCAUCCUCGCUCCGGUGCCAAAGCCUGACCGUUCCAUGUCCAGACUCCACAACUCAUCGGAUUCAGGAUUUUUUUUUUUUUUUUUUUUUACUUAAUCUGCUUAAUCUUAGCGGCUAUUUGGAGGUGAUUUUAAGGGGGGAAACUAAUUUUUAUAUUGUUAUUCACCUUUUCCAGCCAUGAGUACAAUGGCUGAGAGUCGAUUACGAUGUCUCUGUCAAGUACUUGUCGGAAAAGCAGCUGCUUCCGACGUGUCAGUCCCUCGGCGAAGUCUAUCUCCGCCUUCAGCACUACAGGGACGCCCUUAUUUAUCAAAAAAAGCAUUUAGAGCUUGCUAAGGAUGCAGAUGACCUCAUUGAGCAACAAAGAGCCAGCACUCAGCUUGGUCGAACUUACCAUGAUAUGUUUUUAUCUAAUGGUGAGCACAACUCAGUUAGGAAUGCAAAAAAGUAUUGGAGAUGUUUUGGAUUCUGUUGGUAAUUGGAGAAGUGCUCUAAAUGCAUUCAAAGAAGGGUACAGGCAAGUAGCUUCUCUAGUAACUUAUAAAUAUGCCUAUGUUAUUUAUGUAGACAGCCACGUUAAAAUAAGUAUAAUUGUAAGAUUUUCCGGUUGGGACUGUAUAUAUGACAUCGAGGUCAAGUGAUAAAUUAACCGUGAGGGAGGGAGCUUAAAACCUUCUAUUAAGAGGUUUCAUUUUGGUUCUA